rnacentral:lncRNA from 1 species
AUUUACAGCUCUUCAAUUUUCUCUCUCUUAUUUACUGUAGUAGCUCAUCUUUCAUCUUAAAUAGUGCCCAACUGCCCUCUUUCUUACACCUCAUACUUGGUACUAAUAAUCCAGCCUUUUUCCCUGCACGUCUUUCAUUUGUGUAGGCGUGUGUGUGAUGUCAGUGGUGGAUUUUGUGUGUUCUUGGACUAGGUCAUGGCGGUUUAUCAAAGGGUUUCUACCAGAAUUUAUUGGCAUUCUGUCCACCUCCAUUCCUGUUAAGAAAUUUCAUUCUGAUGAUAUAUGGAGGUGGGCAUACUGCCAACUGAGUUCUGUUGAAUUCUCUUUGUAAAACCCUCGUGAAGCUCUUUCCCUUGUUUUCGACUGUAUACAGAGCCAAGGUAACGAACCCCUUGCAUAAAUUCGUGCAAAAUUUCUCUUUUUCUUUACCAUGCAUGUUAAGAAAUUUUAGAUGCUUAAUUUUUGUAUUAUUAAUCACACAGCAUUUUUCUUGGUCUUACAGUUUUUCUUUUUUAGUCUAUGGUGACUAUUUCUCUAUUUUUUGUUCGUUUGAAUCUAUGUUCUGCAGCAGCUAAUCUGGCGGCAAAAAGCUUCAGAAUCCAGAUGAAAUAGAAGUUAAACAAUAGAAUAGAACUUCUGCUAAGGAAUGGAACCCUACUUCUCAGAUUUUGUGUGUAAAUCAAUUAAAUCAUUUUCCUAGGAAAAUUUAUCUGGCUAGCUAGUUACUUUCAAGAUGUGUUGAUCACCUGCUUCGCAGCUCGUUGAUCACCUGCUUCGCAGCUCAACAGUCAAGAUCAUAAAAGGAGAAAUAGAGAUUUCUCCAUUGAUUUUCCGUCAAGAGAAGGAAAUCCCAGAAAAAGUUGGAAGAGGAAAAAACUUCCUAGUACAAAAUCUAUUUAUUGCCUUUUCAGUUUAAAUGUCAAACAG